UGGCCGCAGACCGGGUUGGCCGCUCUCUGCUCCCCAGCCAGGGGUUCGCCCACAGCCCGGGGUCUCGCUGGUGCACGUGAUGACUAAAGCUUUUUUCCCUAUCAGAGCGACGGUGUUGAUUCCGCUGCUCUAAGCCAGAUCGUGUCUGAUGCACCAGCCCGGGGAGGCGGCCUUUGCUUUGCUCCCGCCGGAUGGUCAGCGAGACUAAAUGUCUUUCGCCUCUUCGGUCUUCUGCUUCUCAGGUCCACCAAGCAGGCGCGGGCAACAUGUGCUGGAGCCCUGGGCUGGUAGAGCAAGGCCAGGCGCGGCCCCAGGAUAGAACCAGCAGGAAGCACCGGUGCUCUGGUUAUGAACCCACUGUGUCCAUUGCCCCCUGUGACCCUCAUGGAGGAGGUAGCGGUCCAUGGCAGCAAGGUGGGAGCAACGUGAGCCUGGGAUACCUGGCUCACUGAGAGAAAGGUGCCAUGGUGACCUGAAGCAGACUUGGAAAAAGUGGUCACUGUCCUGGUUAACAAGCCACUUAUGAGCCAUUAAUAGGGGAGAGUGGGACUAUUAUGUUGUCCAUAGACAUAGACUUGAGGAUCUUCUAAAGGUGAAGGAGUUGUCAAUGUCAGCACGAAGCAGAAGUUGCCCUGUGAAGUAGCAGAAAGCUCUCCUGUUAAUAUUGGGAACAUUUGCUAAAGUGACGGCAAAAUAUCCCGAGUCUAGGCUGUUGUAUCCACAUUGCUCUGCAAUGACUUCAUGGUCAAGCUUCCCUCUUUCUGUGUGGAGUAAGAAAUACUGCAUGUCCUGCCUCCUUAAGAGAUGCCAAAGGACUUUAGUAAUUUAUUGUCUCAAAGCUCACGAGCCAUUUCAUUGGAAGGGAUGGAUCUUGAUGUCUUUUUAUGCAGUAACAUACUAUGUCAAGUGUUCUUGUGUCCAUAAUGGCUGUAUUCACCCACUGCAAGUUGGGUUCAACCCACUGCUGUAAUGUGGAAGAUUAUGAUGUACUAAAAAUCAUUAAAAGUACUGAGGUAACUUCUUAAA